rnacentral:miRNA from 1 species
UAGUAGUCAAAUAUGCAGAUCU